rnacentral:rRNA from 1 species
AGUGAACGCUGGCGGUAGGCCUAACACAUGCAAGUCGAACGGCAGCACAGUAAGAGCUUGCUCUUACGGGUGACGAGUGGCGGACGGGUGAGGAAUACAUCGGAAUCUACUUUUUCGUGGGGGGUAACGUAGGGAAACUUACGCUAAUACCGCAUACGACCUACGGGUGAAAGCAGAAGCUCUUCGGACCUUGCGCGAUUGAAUGAGCCGAUGUCGGAUUAGCUAGUUGGCGGGGUAAAGGCCCACUAAGGCGACGAUCCGUAGCUGGUCUGAGAGGAUGAACAGCCACACUGGAACUGAGACACGGUCCAGACUCCUACGGGAGGCAGCAGUGGGGAAUAUUGGACGAAGGGCGCAAGCCUGAUCCAGCCAUACCGCGUUGGUGAAGAAGGCCUGCGGGUUGUAUAGCCCUUUUGUUGGGAAAGAAAAGCAGCAGGUGAAUAGCCCGCUGUGCUGACGGUACCCAAAGAAUAAGCACCGGCUAACUUCGUG